CUCAAACUCAACAAUGCAGCUUAAUUAGCACAUUCAACUGGUCGAAUCAAACCUCAAAAAGAACACUAUCAAACAAUAACCUUAAAUAUUAUAUAAAUAUCUCAUCCCACAAAAACACUAUCAAACAGUGAUGUAUUACAAGUAAAAAAAACUCACAACAAUAAGCAACAACCACGAUUAACACAAUACAAAACAGAGGGUUCUGAUACACAACAAUAAUAGCUUAUUUCAGCAAUUUGGCAGAUUACAUCACUUCGUAGAUCCACACGUCAAAGCAGCCCCUGCCACAUUGACUCCCAUCCUGAAACACGAAAAUCGCAGCAAUGUCAACUACAAGAUGGAGACAAAAUUGCAAUAAGGAAAACAAUCAAACAGAGACUAUGAUGCAAUAUUGUAGCAGGUAUAUUGUUUGCUAUUAAAUUGAAGAAAUCUGCAGUGAAACUAUGAUGCAAUAAUGGAUUUUGCAAAGUAAAUACUUUCACUAAUUGUGGAACAAAAAUCAUGGUUGAGCGGAAUAAAUUGGUUACCUUUAGGUUAGUGUUAUUGAAAUUCCAAAAUUCCAUUUCUCAGAAUACUGUCAAAGUGGAGUAUAAUUUUGGGAGUGUCUGCAUAAAUUUUAGAAGUUAUUUUGACAAGUUUCCAUUUUAGUAUGAAAACUUAAAUAUGUUUUUGGGUGUAGGUGUUAGAGACUACCCAAGUUUACAGCAGAGGAGAUGGAAAAUUCCUAUUAACAUAUGUAACCAAUUUACAGCCCCACAAGUGCACAAAUCACAAUAGAGAUUAUUCAAAGAUUUUGAUAAAUAAAUAGUGGAUGAGACGUUUAGUUUUUAAAUUGUUUUGGCAUAAUUAAUGAUGAUGUUUUUGUCCAUGACAGCAAAUGAGGGUCCAUGGAAGAGGAGAAAAAAUAGACCUAUUUUGAGAUAGAAAAACCAAACUAUACAAAUAUAUACCUAUUGUUUAUAAUAUAUAGCUAGGUAGAUUCCGUUACCCUCUCACAUAUAUACAAAUUAAAAAGCACUUCGCAAACCCAACGGCCUUUGGCUGUAGACUCCUUUCUAAGCAGCCCCUCCCCCAAAUUAGCUAGCAAAAAAAAAAUUAGAAGUUUGAGGAACCUUUAUUUUUAAAGCUACCAGAAAGGCGGUAAGAUUUAUACUUCUUGUUGGGGUAUGGAUUAUUUGGUAGGUGGUUCAUGUGGAGGAAUACUUCGCAUAUAGGAGAUUGGACUCGGUGGAUUCGGUGGCUUAUAGAGAACCAAGAAGUACUAGAUGAAUAUUGGGGGAAGUAGAAAAUACCUUGGGAGACAGAGAGAGACGGCGAGUUCGUCGAGUUUCCGACUUCGUUCGACCGGAAGCUUUGGGCCAGAGACUCGAUCAGGCGAGGUUUCGGCUUCGUGAGAGAGAGAGGUUUCGGCUUAAGAGAGAGAGAGAUGCGAUUUGGCUUGAGAUCAGAUUAACACUUUCCUUUCAUUUCCCAACCGUUGGAUAUAAUCCACGGCUCAUAACAGAAGUUCGGAUUUUAAGUAAUGUCCGGGCGCCCAGACUAGAUCUUAA
rnacentral:lncRNA from 1 species